UGGGGAAUUUUGGACAAUGGGGGAAACCCUGAUCCAGCCAUCCCGCGUGUGCGAUGAAGGCCUUCGGGUUGUAAAGCACUUUUGGCAGGAAAGAAACGUCAUGGGUUAAUACCCCGUGAAACUGACGGUACCUGCAGAAUAAGCACCGGCUAACUACGUGCCAGCAGCCGCGGUAAUACGUAGGGUGCAAGCGUUAAUCGGAAUUACUGGGCGUAAAGCGUGCGCAGGCGGUUCGGAAAGAAAGAUGUGAAAUCCCAGAGCUCAACUUUGGAACUGCAUUUUUAACUACCGGGCUAGAGUGUGUCAGAGGGAGGUGGAAUUCCGCGUGAAGCAGUGAAAUGCGUAGAUAUGCGGAGGAACACCGAUGGCGAAGGCAGCCUCCUGGGAUAACACUGACGCUCAUGCACGAAAGCGUGGGGAGCAAACAGG
rnacentral:rRNA from 1 species